ACACGAACCGCACGAACGUUAUUCGGAAUCACUGGGCUUAAAGGGUGCGUAGGCGGUCCGGUAAGUUGGGUGCGAAAGCCCUCGGCUCAACCGAGGAAUUGCGCCCAAAACUACCGGACUUGAGGAAGACAGAGGUGAGCGGAACUUGCGGUGGAGCGGUGAAAUGCGUUGAUAUCGCAAGGAACACCAGUGGCGAAAGCGGCUCACUGGGUCUUUUCUGACGCUGAGGCACGAAAGCUAGGGGAGCGAACGGGAUUAGAAACCCUAGUAGUCC
rnacentral:rRNA from 1 species